UACGGAGGAUGCAAGUGUUAUCCGGAAUCACUGGGCGUAAAGCGUCUGUAGGUGGUUUAACAAGUCUACUGUUAAAGCUUGAAGCUUAACUUCAAAAAUGCCGUAGAAACUUUUAAACUUGAGUAUGGUAGGGGUAGAGGGAAUUUCCAGUGGAGCGGUGAAAUGCGUAGAUCUUGGAAAGACCACCAAUGGCGAAGGCACUCUACUGGGCCAUGACUGACACUAAGAGACGAAAGCUAGGGGAGCAAAUGGG
rnacentral:rRNA from 1 species